rnacentral:lncRNA from 1 species
GUGACACUGAAGACUGAAGGUGUGCGACUUCAAGCGGCGCUGCGCAGACAGUUCGGCGUUUGACAAAGUAUCGCGAUAGCGAUUCGAAAACUUAAGGAGCCAUCUACUCUCGCGGUACUUUGAUGUCAAACACCGAUCGGUGGUCGGCGCUGCAACCUUGAACAUAACUUGGAACAAUGGAGGUCUUUACGGUUUAAAAUGAUGAUAAAAUGUGCCGUGAGCGACAUGACAGUGGUUGUAAAAAGGGGGGGGAAUGUCACCCUAUCAGUCAAAACGCCUGAAAUGGUGGAUGUCAACCGAGUGACGCUGCUGACACUUUACGAAAACGGCACACAAGUUCCCAUCUUCCGCUACUGUUCUAUCAAAGAGAAGAAAAGGGGGUGCCCCGCCAUCGGCAACGACAGAUUCUCACUCCAGCUUAGACGAGAGAAUGCUUCUGUAAUCAUUCUUGAUGCCUGUGCCGCUGACUCAGGAGCACACAUUGUGGAAGUGAUCGGGAACUACACGAUCAAGGAAACGUUCAACGUUGUAUUCACCGAGUCUUCUGGUGACCCGUCCUUCAAAAUCAGCCCACCACAAGACUUCAACACAGUUGUCAUCAUAGGAGUCUUCGCAGUGUUAAUCAUAGUGGUCACUGUUGUCAGCGUAUACUUCUAUAAAAAGAAAAACUGGAAGAAAUUUGAUUUCCUUGACUGCACAGUGGAUUCAGAAGUGGCGGACAGUCGAUCAAGCAUCACUGGAGCAGAUGAAUGUGACACAGACGCAUCCUCUGAGGAACACUGCUUGGUAGAGAAGGAACCAGAAGAACUUGACAGCACCCAUCCAGAUGCACUUAAAUUAAUCAAUAAUAAUAAUAAUGAUGAUGAUAAUAAUAAUGAUAAUAAAGAUGUUGUUAUAUAUAUAAAUAAACAAUUGUUAUUUAUAUGAAAGUUUGAUGUAG